rnacentral:tRNA from 1 species
UGUCUCAAUGGUAGAGUGCUUGCCUUGCAUGCAUGAGACCUUGGGUUCAAUUCCUAA